CGAGUGAGCGGCAAAAGCUCAAAUUUGAAAUCUGGUACCUUCGGUGCCCGAGUUGUAAUUUGGAGAGGGCAACUUUGGGGCCGUUCCUUGUCUAUGUUCCUUGGAACAGGACGUCAUGGAGGGUGAGAAUCCCGUGUGGCGAGGAGUGCGGUUCUUUGUAAAGUGCCUUCGAAGAGUCGAGUUGUUUGGGAAUGCAGCUCUAAGUGGGUGGUAAAUUCCAUCUAAAGCUAAAUAUUGGCGAGAGACCGAUAGCGAACAAGUACAGUGAUGGAAAGAUGAAAAGAACUUUGAAAAGAGAGUGAAAAAGUACGUGAAAUUGUUGAAAGGGAAGGGCAUUUGAUCAGACAUGGUGUUUUGUGCCCUCUGCUCCUUGUGGGUAGGGGAAUCUCGCAUUUCACUGGGCCAGCAUCAGUUUUGGUGGCAGGAUAAAUCCAUAGGAAUGUAGCUUGCCUCGGUAAGUAUUAUA
rnacentral:rRNA from 1 species